UACGGAGGGGGCUAGCGUUGUUCGGAAUUACUGGGCGUAAAGCGCGCGUAGGCGGACCUGCAAGUCGGGGGUGAAAGCCCGAGGCUCAACCUCGGAACUGCCUUCGAUACUGCGGGUCUCGAGUCCGGGAGAGGUGAGUGGAAUUCCUAGUGUAGAGGUGAAAUUCGUAGAUAUUAGGAAGAACACCAGUGGCGAAGGCGGCUCACUGGCCCGGUACUGACGCUGAGGCGCGAAAGCCAGGGGAGCAAAGCGGG
rnacentral:rRNA from 1 species